GCCUCCUUCUCAUCCUUCAUGCUGACUAGACAAAAACAGGACCAGGAGAGAGCCCUGGAUAGUAUACACUCCGUAUGUUGGGCAUAACUGCAGAGCAGAUGCGGCCUAUGAGUUAAGUAAGAGUAGUACAGCAUGUACAGCUUGUUCUCAGAAACAAACAGCUCUUCUCAGAAGGUAAAAUCUAAUAUAUGACUGACAGUGAUCAAAGGCCAAUUCGGGGAAAUGGUUUUGGAGAGAGUGGCAAUCAAGCCUGAUCCCUUGCUCUAAACUGAAGGGAAGGAGUAGGACUGGGGACUGCAUUUCCCCUGGUGUCUAAGGACUGCUUGUGCCCACAGGGCAUAUAGGAGGGGGUGGUGGAGGCAGACUAGGGAAUAACAUGGCUUUUCUCUGGUUAUCUUUACCUCUCAUGAACUCUACCCUGUAGCCCAUGGAGGCAAGCUGCCCCUCCUCAUUCUUGGUUAUGUACUUUGAAUGUAGCCCUUGACGCAUUUCUAAACACUCGGCUCAAACCCUGGCUAGGCCACUUAUAAAGCAUGUGAGCUCCAGCAAGUUUUUUGGACUCUCUCAGGCUCAGUAAGUAGCCUUAUUUAUUGAUGAUUCCUAAAAUGUCUU
rnacentral:lncRNA from 1 species